GAAAAAAGGUGCAUUGACAAACAUUGGGCACAAUGAUAGCAGAAAAGACCUCGCACCCAAUGCUCCAUUUUUCAGGACUUGCUAUUCCCUUAUCACAACUCACCUUGAAUGCAAAAAAACAAAACAAUAGCUACCAACCUGGGAAGGGAGCGUUUUAAGAUUUAAAACAGAAUUGUCAUCUGCAACCCCAUCAACAUCUAAAGGGAAAUUGUCCCAAAAAAUGCAUUUGAUAAAGGCAUAUGAUUCAUUGUUG